CAGUCCAGGAGCAAGGGUUUCACAACCUCCAAUUGCUCUCUAAUCUCCAUCUUUCUCAAACAAAAUUCAAACUCUCUCGUAGAUUUUUUUUCUCUUCCUGAUUCCUAAAAGAAAAUGCCGUCUGAGGACUCAAAGGCCGUGAAGGUGAAAGAUGAAGCAGAAGCAGAGAAAGCUGAAGCAGAAGCAGAUGAGAAGAGUUUGAGUUCCAUUCUCCAAGCCCGCAAGAA
rnacentral:misc_RNA from 1 species